CCGAUGUGUACAACCCCAAAAAAAAACGGAAGUCGAGAAGGAUACUUCAGAUGCCGAAAACAAGGAUGCAGUUCUGGAUUUGCCGGAGAUAAAAAAAAUUACACAAGGCUCAUUGGAAGAGCAAACAAUUGAAACUUCGACGUUUUAUAACAAGAAGGUCUCCAGUUGUCUGCGAAAAAGGAAGUUGUGAUUUAUAAAAGCCGCUUAAAACAAAACUAAAGAACCUAUGUUUUCAUUUCUUUAUUAUUU
rnacentral:lncRNA from 1 species